UACGUAGGGCGCAAGCGUUGUCCGGAAUUAUUGGGCGUAAAGAGCUCGUAGGUGGUUUGUCGCGUCUGUCGUGAAAGCCCGGGGCUUAACCCCGUGCCUGCUUCCGAUACGGGCAGACUAGAGGUAUGCAGGGGAGAACGGAAUUCCUGGUGUAGCGGUGAAAUGCGCAGAUAUCAGGAGGAACACCGGUGGCGAAGGCGGUUCUCUGGGCAACAACUGACGCUGAGGAGCGAAAGCGUGGGGAGCGAACAGG
rnacentral:rRNA from 1 species